AGAGUCGACCAGACAGUCGCGGCACCCGCGUGGCGGGUGCGGAGGAAAGUCCGGGCUCCAUAGGGCAGAGCGCCAGGUAACCCCUGGGGGGCGUGAGCCUACGGAAAGUGCAACAGAAAAUAUACCGCCUAAGCCCCCGUGGGGGCCGGUAAGGUUGAAAUGGUGCGGUAAGAGCGCACCGCGUCGGUGGCAACAUUCGACGGCAUGGUAAACCCCGCUCGGAGCAAGGCCAAAUAGGGGAGCAAUGGUGCGGCCCGCACUGCUCCCGGGUAGGCUGCUUGAGGUGUCUGGUGACGGGCAUCCCAGAUGAAUGACUGUCCACGACAGAACCCGGCUUACCGGUCGACUCUAUUU
rnacentral:RNase_P_RNA from 1 species